rnacentral:lncRNA from 1 species
AUCUUACACAGAGCAUGCAGUCCGUGGGGAACGUGAAGAAAACAAGGAGUUCUACCCGAGUAUGUGUCCUCCUGCAGGGAGAAGAAAAUAUUGCCCUUCUAGUUUGAAAAGGAAGCUGUUUCUUACCCAGGCAGUCCUUGCUAUUGGCCUUCAUGUCUGUGGACCCAUUUCUCUGGGUGUGCGACCCCAAGAGCUGAACUCUGUAAGUGACUUGGUCGAUAUGGUGUCGUUUGUACAUUCUCAGCAUGUGCUUUCAGA